UGCAAGGCAGUGUGAGACAUGGGGGCUGGGGUGUGGUUGCCCCCUCAUCAUUAAAGCUUGUGUCCAGCUGAGACUUCUUUCUUUGUUUUGUUUUGGGCCCACACCCUAUGUUGCUCAGAGCUUACUCUUGGCUGGAACUUCUGACCUUUGCCUGCCCUUGGCAUCAGGAUAUAUGGAUUCUUGCUCUUCUCUGAGAAUUGUAUUUUCAAAGAUGUCUGGAGAUAGAAGAUAACAAAAGAGACCGAUGAGAUCAAAACAGGAUACUCUUGAAGCAAUAUUGGUGAAGUCUAGUGCAGUAUUAAGAAUGGCAGCAUACGUUGAACCCAUCAAGGGGAUGGCAAAGAUGAUAUGGGCAUGACUGUUGUUCCAGUGGCUAUUUUUAUAGAGAACUGGCCUGGCCUCAGAGGUCUCAUCUAGAAGUCGUCUCCCUUGUUCAUUCAGCAUCUUUUUUUUGAGUUGCAGCAAAAUUCUACAAGGUCAGACACACCAUUCAGAAAGCCUCAACUCCGGUUUCCUGUCAACACGCAUACCUGUAGUCAAUGGGCUUUGACUUUGCAGGCUUCGAUUUUGCAAGAUACAGCUUUUUGUUUUAUAA